AGGUUUCCAGAGGUAACCUGAAUCCUACUUUCUGUCUCUAUGAAUUUGCCUAUUCUUGAUAUUUCAUAAUGAUCUUCACCUACACUUCGGAUGCCCUGAGAAAUUAAAUUUAUAUGCUACACUUCCACUUUGCUCAUGCUACUGACCAGCAAGACCAUGGGAGUGCGGGCAGUUACAAGAUUUUCUCAUCUCUGGCAGGUGAGAACCUCUAAAUUGCUUCCUGAGUUCUGACAUGGCCAUGACCCCAGUCAUCAUCUUCUGGAAAAAAAAGGAGUUUCCCCGAUGUUGGCCUCUGGACCCUGCUUGAUGUGUGAGGACUACAUUUCACAUGCUGCAGGGGACCAGGUCCAGUUUUUCCACUCUGUGCGGCAUUGUUCAGAGCCCCUCCAUCCUCUCCAGCAGGAAAUCAGGAAGACCAGGGGUCAUAAGGGCUAUGGCUAGCUGAGGGAUGAGGGCGAAGGGCAACCGGUGUUGGGGGGUUGGGGGAUGCCAUUCUCUGUUGCCCCUGGGUCCCAGGGACACAGCCUCGGCUUCUCUCUUGGCUGCCACCACCCUAGAAAAAUGUAUUUUCCACCAGGGGACAGCCUUGGCACCCAUCUUUUCUCCCCUUCCUCUCCCUUCCAGCUCUGCCCUUCCCCAUGCUGACCGUGGCCAUCUGGCACCCUCCACUGGGUUCAGAUACACCAAAGAAGACAAGGAGAGAGCUGAAACAGGCAACAAGAGCAACAAAUAACAAGGACAGCUGACAUUGUUCACCAGCUGCCAGCUAACUGCGUGCUUUAUCGCAGUUCCUCAGACAACCUGAUUGUCCUCAUUUCACGCAAGGAGAUUCUAAAGCUCAGUGACAGAGCCUGUAAGGCACUUGUCUGAGACCACACGUAGGAGGUGGUAUGGCCAGAAUUGAAACCCAGGCAGUGGGGCUUCCGACACAGUGCUUUUAACACUGACCAUCUCACUCUACUUAUUUUGCAGAGAGCAAAUCAAGGAUGGGGGAAGAGCCCACAGUGGGAUCAUUAGGAGCAAGUUACUACUGUGGACAACUGGGGCCAAAGAAAGGGACUCCGAGGGAGCAGUUACAGAGGCAGGAGGGGAAGCAGAAGGGAGAGGUUCAAGAAGGAGGAUAAGCAAUGUCAAAUGUGCAGAAAGGCCAAAUACAAGUUUUCCAUGUCUGUCUGCCAUCCAGGCCCAAGGUGAGCUGCCUCCAUUGAACCCAUUUUCUGGACUCUGGAAGAGGCCCAUUUGUGUCCCAUCCUCUGAGCUGAUGCUCCUCUCCACUAGGGCUCUCCCCAAGCUUCUCCAGCCCCAAGACUUCAAACUCCCCCCAAAGCCACCUCUUGGUUCCGCAUGGGCUCCGAGAGGCCAGCCCUCGGUGGGAACACCCUGGGACGGUGUGGAUCCUCCAUCCUUUCCCUGUGCACAGACCUUUCCUGCUUUCCAGUUCCCAGGUCUGGUGUCAGACUUUGCUUCCAGCACAUUCUUGCUUCCCAGUUUCACUUUCUUUCUUCCUUCCCUCUCUGCCAUAACCUGAGUAGCAAAACAAAAAGUCCAAAAAACAAGAAAAAAACAAACCAAAAACCAAAAACCAAAACCAAAACCAACCCUGGGUGCCAUAACCUGGGUUGCUCCUUUUCUGUUUUCCACCAGUUGGGGUAUGGUUGGCUGAAAAGUGGCCCCCUACAAGGUAUCUAUGUCCUAAUCCCUGGAACCUGUGAAUGUUACCUUAUAUGGCAAAGAUAGAGAUGUGAGUGCGUUAAAGGAUUUUGAGAUGGGGAGAUUAUCCUGGAUUAUUGGGGUGGGCACUAAACGCAGUCACACAUACCUUUAUGAGAGAGGGGCAGAGAGAUAUUUGAUACCAUCUGGUGUCAAAGGCUGAGAAGAGAAGGUGAUGUGAAAAUGAAACAGUGAGAUCGGAGGAUGCUGACCUUGAAGACUGGAGCCAGGUGGCUACCGGCAUCCACGAGAAGCUGGAAGAGGCAAGGAACAGAUUCUCUCCUCGACUGUGGGGUGACCUGGGGAGCUGAUCAUCAGGAACAGUACUGCAACUGGCAAGGCCUGCCUCCCUCCCUUACAACUGUGAGGCCA